GAUGAACGCUGGCGGCGUGCCUAAUACAUGCAAGUCGAGCGAACAGACGAGGAGCUUGCUCCUCUGACGUUAGCGGCGGACGGGUGAGUAACACGUGGAUAACCUACCUAUAAGACUGGGAUAACUUCGGGAAACCGGAGCUAAUACCGGAUAAUAUAUUGAACCGCAUGGUUCAAUAGUGAAAGACGGUUUUGCUGUCACUUAUAGAUGGAUCCGCGCCGCAUUAGCUAGUUGGUAAGGUAACGGCUUACCAAGGCAACGAUGCGUAGCCGACCUGAGAGGGUGAUCGGCCACACUGGAACUGAGACACGGUCCAGACUCCUACGGGAGGCAGCAGUAGGGAAUCUUCCGCAAUGGGCGAAAGCCUGACGGAGCAACGCCGCGUGAGUGAUGAAGGUCUUCGGAUCGUAAAACUCUGUUAUUAGGGAAGAACAAAUGUGUAAGUAACUAUGCACGUCUUGACGGUACCUAAUCAGAAAGCCACGGCUAACUACGUGCCAGCAGCCGCGGUAAUACGUAGGUGGCAAGCGUUAUCCGGAAUUAUUGGGCGUAAAGCGCGCGUAGGCGGUUUUUUAAGUCUGAUGUGAAAGCCCACGGCUCAACCGUGGAGGGUCAUUGGAAACUGGAAAACUUGAGUGCAGAAGAGGAAAGUGGAAUUCCAUGUGUAGCGGUGAAAUGCGCAGAGAUAUGGAGGAACACCAGUGGCGAAGGCGACUUUCUGGUCUGUAACUGACGCUGAUGUGCGAAAGCGUGGGGAUCAAACAGGAUUAGAUACCCUGGUAGUCCACGCCGUAAACGAUGAGUGCUAAGUGUUAGGGGGUUUCCGCCCCUUAGUGCUGCAGCUAACGCAUUAAGCACUCCGCCUGGGGAGUA
rnacentral:rRNA from 1 species